UGGAAAAAUAAAGUAAAAGUUUUAUUGAUAUGUAAAGUUAUAGUUAAUAAGUUAACAUAAAGGUUUUUUAGUUAUUUUAUUGAAAUAAUUAAAUAAAAUUAUACUAAGAGUAAUGUAAAUGAAUGAGAUUAAGAAUUUAUUUAAGUAAUUUUAAUUUAAAUGUACCUUUUGUAUCAGGAUUUAUUGAAAAUAAAAUAUUUUAUAAAAAUUUUUUCGAAUAAAAAAGAGUUAAAUAAAUAUAAAAUUUAAUGUUUAAUAAUUAUUUUAAAUAUUUAUUUAGAGAAGAUAUUUUAGUCAAUUUUUUAGAUAUCUAAUUUUUUUUGAUAUAAAUUGAAUUUAUAUAUAGAAAAAUUUAUAAUAAAUUAUUUUUAAGUUUAUUUUAUAAUUAAUUUAUAUAAAAAAUUUAUGGGAUAAUCUAUAAAUUAUUUUAAAAAUUUUAUUAAGUAUUGUUAAAAAAAUAUUUUUAAAAUUGAAAUUUUUUUUAAAAAAUUUAAUAAUUUAUUUAAUUAAUAUUAAUUUAUUUAAAAUAAAGGUUUGAUUAAUUAAUAUAAAAAAUAAAGGUUAAUAAAAAUUUUUUUAUUAUUUAUAUUUUUAAUUUUAUAAAAAAGUAUAAUAAGUAAUUAAUAAUUAUUAAAAAUAAUGAUAAAAUUAGUAUUAUUUUUAAAAAAGUAAAGAUUUUAAAAUUAUAAUAUAGAUAAAAUAAUAUAAAUAUAAAGAAUUAGGCAAAUUAAAUUAUUUUAUUUAAAAAAUAUUUUAAUUAAUAAUUAAUAAUAAUAUUAUUUUUUUUAUAUAAAUAUAAUAAUAAUAUGAUUUUUGUUGUUAUUAAAAAAUUUAAUAGUUAAGAUAAAUUAAACUCACCUGUUUAAUAAAAACAUAGUUUUAAGAUAAAAAAUUUAAGAUUUGUUCUGCUCAAUGAUAAUAAAUUAAAUAGCUGCAGUAUUUUGACUGUACUAAGGUAGCAUAAUCAAUUGUCUUUUAAUUGAAGACUGGGAUGAAGGAAUGGAUGAAGUUUGAACUUUUUAGUAGUUAAAUUAAGAAUUUAAAUUUUAAGUUAAAAUUCUUAAAUUAUAUUAUGGGACGAGAAGACCCUAUAGAAUUUUAUAUUAGUUUUUUAAUUUUUUAAGAAAAAUAUUUAAAAAAUUAAUAUUUUGUUGGGAGGAUAAUAAAAUUUAAUUAACUUUUAAAUAUAUUUAUUUAUUUAUUAAUAAAAAAAAUUUUUAAUUAACAUUAAUUUAUGGAUGAUGGAUUAAAUAAAUUUUUAAAAUUAAAAUUUAUAAUUAGAAUUAAUUACCUUAGGGAUAACAGCGUAAUAUUUUUUUUGAGAUCUUAUUGGAAAAAAUGAUUGCGACCUCGAUGUUGAAUUAAAGUAAAAAUUAGAUGAAGAAGUUUAAUUAUUUAGUCUGUUCGACUAUUAAAAUUUUACAUGAUUUGAGUUUAGAUCGGUGUGAGCCAGAUUGGUUUCUAUCUAUAAUUAAUUUAUGGUAAUUUUGUACGAAAGGACUUUUUAUUUGAAAUUAUUUUUUUAUUGUGAUUAAAAUUAAGUUAAUUUUUUU
rnacentral:rRNA from 1 species